UUUUUUUUUUUUUAUUUUUUAUUUUUUUAUAAUGCAAGUGAGAGUUGAAAUUUUGCAAGGCCUGGGAAUAGUUGGAGGGGUAUAGGUCUUAAGACAAAGGAAUUGUUUUUCCCUUGUUUAGCUUUAGGAAAUUAAUGUGAGAAAGAGAUCCAUAUGCCCAGGCAAGUGUCAAAAAUUUUAGCUCAUGAAAGCAAAAGUCCCUCUUGGCUUAAAUCACAGUUCCACGCCCUUCUUCCCUCACUACACCACUCAUCACGCAAGCCAUCAACCAGGUAACACUAAUCUUCUCCUUUCCUCUUAUCAUCAGUUCUCUAUUUCUCUCGUCUGCUCUUCCCUCGGUCUCUCUCUCUCCCUAUUUUUCUCUCUACGUGCCGAUUUUCUUUUUCCCUUUUCUUCUUCAUCUUUGUUUUCUGUUUCUGUGAUUCUGUUUGUGUGAAUCUUAGAUCACAAAGUGUGAAACUUUGGUGUUGUUGUUGGAUUGAGAUGAAGAUAUGAUUGUUGAAUUAUAAAUCCCACUUUUUGGGAGGGUAAUUCAAUACUCUCAUUGGUAGAAAGAGUUUGUCUAAUGUUAUGCAUACAACGUAUUCGACAAAUUGUGUGAGAGAGAAAUUACAUGGUCUCUGAAGUUCUUUCGCAUGAUUUCAAAGUUCUGGAUCAUAAAUAUAUUCUAAAUGUUCUUUCACUGAAUUUUGAUUCAAUAUGGUUAGAAUUGUUCACUUUGGAUUCUAGGGUUGCAUUCUCUUUGGAACUUGGUUUAAAAUAAAUUGAUGAAAACGGUGUUCACUGUUUCGAAUUAAAUGGACUAUGAAACUCCCAUA